rnacentral:rRNA from 1 species
CAGUAGCCGCGGUAAAACGGAGGGUGCAAGCGUUAAUCGGAAUUACUGGGCGUAAAGCGUGCGUAGGCGGUUCGUUAAGUCUGUUGUGAAAGCCCCGGGCUCAACCUGGGAAUGGCAAUGGAUACUGGCGAGCUAGAGUGUGUCAGAGGAUGGUAGAAUUCCCGGUGUAGCGGUGAAAUGCGUAGAGAUCGGGAGGAACAUCAGUGGCGAAGGCGGCCAUCUGGGACAACACUGACGCUGAGGCACGAAAGCGUGGGGAGCAAACAGGAUUAGAUACCCCCGUAGUCCCUGUCUCUUAUAC